rnacentral:rRNA from 1 species
GACGAACGCUGGCGGCGUGCUUAACACAUGCAAGUCGAACGGAAAGGCCCUGCUUUUGUGGGGUGCUCGAGUGGCGAACGGGUGAGUAACACGUGAGUAACCUGCCCUUGACUUUGGGAUAACUUCAGGAAACUGGGGCUAAUACCGGAUAGGAGCUCCUGCUGCAUGGUGGGGGUUGGAAAGUUUCGGCGGUUGGGGAUGGACUCGCGGCUUAUCAGCUUGUUGGUGGGGUAGUGGCUUACCAAGGCUUUGACGGGUAGCCGGCCUGAGAGGGUGACCGGCCACAUUAGGACUGAGAUACGGCCCAGACUCCUACGGGAGGCAGCAGUGGGGAAUAUUGCACAAUGGGCGGAAGCCUGAUGCAGCAACGCCGCGUGCGGGAUGACGGCCUUCGGGUUGUAAACCGCUUGCGCCUGUGACGAAGCGUGAGUGACGGUAAUGGGUAAAGAAGCACCGGCUAACUACGUG